UGACAGGAGACCGGGAGGAACAAGUUUCCCUCCGUGUGCUUUUCCCGUCCGUCUGUCCGUCUCUCCCGGAGGCCCUGCAGGGAUCUCCACGGGAAGGGAGGCGCCGGCGGUCUUCGUCCAGGGCGUGAGGGGAUGACUCCGGCGAUUACAUGAAAAAUGGAUUACAAGUGGAUCAAGAGAAGAAGUAAAGAGACCAGAGUUCAGGAUGGACCUGAGUAUAACCAGCCUCGAAAGGCACCGCUUUUCCCUCUGGCGCCGCACGUGGAAGAACUGAGAUCCCCGGCGAGUUCCAAUCUGGCAAGGUUGUGCAGCAGUUCUGUGACAGAAUAAAAUAUGGGAAAUUGAUGUUUUGAAUUUAGGUUUGUCUUAAAGAAGAUGGAACGAAAGCGUCAUAAUAAAAUAAGAAGGAGGGGCCCUAACAACUGAGGACAUCAAUUUGAAGAAAAGGGUCAGAGGAAACAGGUUUUAUCAUUGGGGCCAGGGAUGGCUUCGUGGUCAAGAGGGGAGCAGCAGGUAAGCAGAAAUUGCUUCUAAUUUGUAAAUGGCUUAUUUGGAAGUUAAGGGCUGUCUUAGUCAAUGUAGGUAUAAUUUUAAGAUCAAUCAUAUUUCACUCUCAUAGGAUCAUUUGAUACUUUCAAAGACUAAAGGUACUCUCAUCACUCUUCUCUUAAAACAAGGACAUCUAGUUCUCUUACCUCAAAUCAUGUCUUUAUGUUUUUGCUAUUGAAUGAAAAUGAUUAUGUAGAAUGUACUAUUUUUAAAUUUCCAAGAGUAGAUUUGGAGGGUUAUUAUCAGUAUCCUAUACUCUUCCUUUUGUGACCGAAUAAUAUUUUUUGCACUUUUGCUUAGCUUUUAAAAAAGAAAAUAAUGUAUUCAAGUAUAACGUCAUUUGCAAAGUGACCUCGGUAGCUUUUGCUCAAAAAUUACUAUAUUGUCCUAUUUGUAAUAUCAAAUUGCCAUUGUUUGGAGGCAAAAUGAUCAUUUCGAAAUGAUUUCAACAAUCUAGAGAGACAUUUAAGCAAUAUUACCCCCAAUCCUGCCAUAAUUUUUUAGAUGUGUUCUCCUUGCUGACAAUUGCCUUGUAAAAUCUUUAUGAUUGCUCCUCUUGUCUUUGAAUGUUGUAGUCUAGAAAUAUUUAGACAGCUUGCUGUUGUGUGUGACAUAUUCUUGAGGCCAUCAGAAAGACUAACUCCUUUUCCCAACUCCAAUUUGGUAUUUCUUACAUUUCCAGGGUGGAGUUUAGAAGACCUGGGUGAUAUGAUCAGUAAGCCGUUUUGAGAAUUGCUCAGAACUCCAUUUUAUCUUUUUUAAAAAACAACCUUUAAAAUCAGAAACCUUGGCAUAGCACUCUCCAACUGUGCCACAGAAGGACAUGCGAUGUUGGUACUUUUUCCUGUCUAUUUUUGUCUCCUACCAAAUCAUAGCCCUGGAAGGGAGCUUUAGAAGUCAUCAAUCUGUUCUGUUGCCUUCAUGCUAAACAUCACAGAGAAGAGAUAAUCGACCCUGUUCUAAAAGGCUAGUCAGUGGAAAGUAUCUCAAAAUUAACCAACAAGUAUUUGUGCUUACUGUGUAUAUACAACAUAUGUAUGGAGAGAAGAACAUGACAAAGUAUAAGACAUUAUCCAUACCCACAAGAAUUUUACAUUUCCUUUGGAGAGGAUAGAUACAUAAACACACAUAAAACCACCAUUAGAGACUCUUGGAUUUGGAGUAGAUCUUGAAGGUCUAACAUCUUGACCACUGCAAAUACGGUAGUCCCCACUUAUCCACACUGGGAUACGUUCCAACACCCCCCAUGGAUGCCUGAAACCUCAGAUAGUACCGAACCCUAUAUGUACUAUCUUUUUUCCUGUACAUACAUAUCUAC